AGUGAACGCUGGCGGUAGGCCUAACACAUGCAAGUCGAACGGCAGCACAGUAAGAGCUUGCUCUUACGGGUGGCGAGUGGCGGACGGGUGAGGAAUACAUCGGAAUCUACAUUUUCGUGGGGGAUAACGUAGGGAAACUUACGCUAAUACCGCAUACGACCUACGGGUGAAAGCAGGGGAUCUUCGGACCUUGCGCGAUUGAAUGAGCCGAUGUCGGAUUAGCUAGUUGGCGGGGUAAAGGCCCACCAAGGCGACGAUCCGUAGCUGGUCUGAGAGGAUGAUCAGCCACACUGGAACUGAGACACGGUCCAGACUCCUACGGGAGGCAGCAGUGGGGAAUAUUGGACAAUGGGCGCAAGCCUGAUCCAGCCAUACCGCGUGGGUGAAGAAGGCCUUCGGGUUGUAAAGCCCUUUUGUUGGGAAAGAAAAGCAGCAGGUUAAUACCCCGCUGUUCUGACGGGACCCAAAGAAUAAGCACCGGCUAACUUCGU
rnacentral:rRNA from 1 species